rnacentral:rRNA from 1 species
UACGAAGGGGGCUAGCGUUGUUCGGAUUCACUGGGCGUAAAGGGUGCGUAGGUGGUGGGAUAAGUCGGAUGUGAAAUCUCGGAGCUUAACUCCGAAACUGCAUUGGAAACUGUCCUGCUAGAGGGUUGGAGGGGGGACUGGAAUACUUGGUGUAGCAGUGAAAUGCGUAGAUAUCAAGUGGAACACCGGUGGCGAAGGCGAGUCCCUGGACAACACCUGACACUGAGGCACGAAAGCUAGGGGAGCAAACAGG